UCCAGGCCCUGAGCUCUUGGCUUCCUAGACCUUACCCAGCCUCUUCACCGACUAAGCUGUGUGGUCUCGGACAAAUUGCUUAACCUCUCUGUCUCAACUGUUCCAUCUGUAGGUAAACUUUGCAAGUGUGACCCGAAAAGAAAGCACUGGGCACAAGUCGGACCCAAACAACCAAUGUGUCCUAUUGUAUUGUGUACUGCCGCUCCGUUGUUUCAGUGUCACAAUCGAUGGCCCCUUCACUGGUACCUCGUGGGACCCAGGACCCAUAUUCUAGACGGCUUAAAUUGAGGUCACCUCAUUUUAAGCUACGUUUCGUGCUCCCUCGACCCCAUUCAGGAAGGCACGAAGGUUUCCCCCUCUCGACCCGGGACACUGAGGCUCGACUGGGGUCGGGUCAAGUAGUUUGCCCAAGAGCCCUGCUGACCAAGGCAGGGUAGCAGCCCUGUUAGGGCCCAGUCUCGGGUCCCCACUUCUCUCUGGAGCCCUUUCCAGGAGACCUCAGCCGGGCGCUUCUCGGUUCCCAGCACCCUGGAGACAGCAAGCCCCGUAGGGUCCUACAGUGAUGACGGGACGGGACGACGUUCUUCAAACUCGGACCGCUCUGCUCCAGCCCCCUUCCACACACUCCCCCCCAGUUCCCAGACCCCCAUCCCCACCUCCCCCUUGGUCCUGCCUUUACGCAGGCAAAAGCUUUAAACCAACUGAGAGCUUGGCCUCAACCUAGGUUCUGCUCCAGCCCACAAAGCCCUUCGAGAGAACUGGGAAGUGGUGGGCGCGGUUACACCUCGCCGCGCGGAAGGGGCGGGGCAUUCAAAUGAGAAAUGGCCUCUGGGUGAGCGACGAAGCAACGACAGAGAACACAAUUUCUCUUUUAAAAGGCAGAGAUUUCAAAAUCUGCACAAGAGCCUGCUGCCUAGUGUGGCCCCCAUACCAAAGUCCGAGAAGCGAGGGAAGUGAGACCUCGAAGGAGGGUGACCUGGCUCACCGUGAAUGCAAUGUGGGUGACGGCAGGGCGGUGGCAGGGAGGCGACCUACGGGCGGUAUCGCUUCUCGGCCUUUUGGCUAAGAUCAAGUGUAGUAUCUGUUCUUAUCAGUUUAAUAUCUGAUACGUCUUCUAUCCGAGGACAACAUAUUAAAUGGAUUUUUGGAGCUGGGAGAUGGAAUAGGAGCUUGCUCCGUCCACUCCACGCAUCGACCUGGUAUUGCAGUACUUCCGGGAACGGUGUCUUCCUCCCUCUUGGGGGAGGUAAUACUUGUGGUGCUCAAGAUCAGCGUGCGGUCGUAAACGUGCUUCGGGUCCUGCUCAUGGGGAUGGUGGGGGACGCAUCGCCAGGCGUUUGCAGUUCCUCUUCUUCUUUUGGGGGCUGGCGUGCUCGACGACGGGCGCCUGUAAGAUAGCGCGGAGCCUUGCUUUUUCCGAAACCGUUGUUGUCAGCUGCGUCCUCUGGGCAGUAGCAACUAGGAGUGGCUUCGCAACGACACCUGCUGUGAGGGCUUAAGUUUCCAAAUCCUUGCUCCCAGAUGGCACGGGUGUGGAGUCCGACUAAGCCCGACACACGGUCACCUCUCUUACUACUUCCGUCUGCUGGUCUUGCUCCUGAGUGGGGUCUAUGGCAUGUAAGUGACUGAAUACUGUAAGCAGGUGGUUUGUUUUGUCUUAAUUUUAGUGUUUACUUGUUUUUCAAACAGUGUGAGCGGAAGAGGGGCAGAGAGAGAGAGAGAGAGAGACCCCCCCCCCCCCGCGCCGACACGGGCCGGAACCCACGAACUGCGAGAUCAUGAUCUGAGAGCCGAAGUCGGAGGCCCAACCAGACUGAGCCACCCAGGCGCCCCAAGUCGGUGGUCAUUUCUUAGGAGGAAGGUUAUCAUCGUAGGAGGUCAUUACCUACAAAGUGCUCCCUUUUGCCUUCUGCACAAAGGCUGACACAGAAAGAAGGAAAGAAAGAAGAGACACCCAAAUCUAGAACACCGACCACGUAAUUUCUUCUCGUGUUCCUAGUCUGUUGCCCUGUGUCGUUAUGUGCCCUUUUACGGGUCCCCUCAGGUCCCGACAGAAAUAGCAAGAUGUCAUCUC